UUUGAGGAGUUAAAUCACCAGUUUGGAGAAGAGGGGAUGAUUCUAGGACAAGCUCGAACCACCCCAAAUGAGGAAGGGAGAGGAGAGGAAGUUGGUUCCUUAACGGGUGAUUUGAGGAGUGAAAAUUGGUGGGAGGAGAUAUUGAGAGAAAUCUUUGGUUUGAGGGAGAAGAGAUGGAGAGCUUUUGGUUCGGUGGAAGGAAGA
rnacentral:lncRNA from 1 species